GUGCAUUUGACCGCUCCUCCCUCCGCGUUGGAGGCGGAAUAGUGGGUUUUGCUGCAACCGGUUUAUUUUCCUUCUGUUUUCACCCAUUCUGGCACAAUCUGGCGCCAUCGUCCUUCUUGUGAGGCCAAGCCUGAAAAUGCGAAGCAGAGAGGCAGGACCAAAAUUGAGGCGAAUCCAGGAACCUGCCAAUGGGUCUCCGGGUGCGGUCUCUGAAACUGGAGGAUAUCGGGAGGAAAGGCUCUCCGAUGCGGAGAUAAUGGGGAAGCUCUUGGCAUGGUUGGCUGUAGGUAUGUGAUACCGGAGGAGCAGGAGUCAAAUAGGAUACGCCGACUUUUAAUUCAAGGAACCCUUUUCUGAAACACUUUGCCACAAUGAAGGAAAUAAGAUUACAGCCGAAGAUACAUAUUAAGGAAUUGUACUCUCAGAGAUGUUGAGAAAAGAUACAUGGGUCUUGGAAGAUAAUUACUCAAAAUAUGCAGGGAAGGUAGUAUAUCUUUCUAUUUUAAAUGUAUUAAGUAUUCCUGGAACUAUAGCAGUGAGUUGGAAAUGG
rnacentral:lncRNA from 1 species